GACGAACGCUGGCGGCGUGCCUAACACAUGCAAGUCGAACGAGAUCCAUGGGAGCUUGCUCCCGGAAGAUCUAGUGGCGAACGGGUGAGUAACACGUGAGAAACCUGCCCUGGAGUGGGGAAUAACUCGGGGAAACUCGAGCUAAUACCGCAUACCCUCGGAUGGUCGCAUGGCCGACCGAGGAAAGAUUUAUCGCUCUAGGAGGGUCUCGCGGCCUAUCAGCUAGUUGGUGGGGUAACGCCUACCAAGGCAACGACGGGUAGCUGGUUUGAGAGAACGAUCAGCCACACUGGGACUGAGACACGGCCCAGACUCCUACGGGAGGCAGCAGUGGGGAAUCUUGCGCAAUGGGCGAAAGCCUGACGCAGCAACGCCGCGUGCGGGAUGACGGCCUUCGUGUUGUAACCGCUUCUAGCAGGGACG
rnacentral:rRNA from 1 species